GCGACCCCAUAGGUUCAAUACUAAACCGGUAGUAAAUUUAUCAUAUUAAUAUACUAAUCAAGGGUGGCGUCUAGCGACACUCCUUAACGACCGGAUAGCAUGAAGUAUACAAUUUACUCUCAAGAACCAGUAGAAGAAUAAUGUAGUAAUUCCUUCUGUCUUUAUAGCUCUGGAUCACCCUAGGAUAUGGUUCAACUGUAAAAUCCUAAUAGGCGAUCAAGUAUGUCUUCACGUCAAAUAUA
rnacentral:lncRNA from 1 species